rnacentral:tRNA from 1 species
UCCCUGGGGUUCCAGUGGUUAGGAAUUGGCGCUUUCAGUGCUGAGGGCCUGGGUUCAAUCCCUGGCCAAGGAA